CGAGUGCCUCGAGCGUUAUCCGGAAUCAUUGGGCGUAAAGGGUGCGUAGGCGGCCUUGUUGGUCUCGCGUAAAAUCCUUCGGCUCAACCGAGGGCUCGCGUGGGAAACGGCAAGGUUAAGAGGAUGGUAGGGGUCUCUGGAACUCUAGGUGUAGCGGUGAAAUGCGUUGAUAUCUAGGGGAACACCAAAAGCGAAGGCAAGAGACUGGACCACUCCUGACGCUGAAGCACGAAAGCGUGGGUCGCGAAUGGGAUUAGAUACCCCAGUAGUCCACGCCCUAAACGAUGAUCUCUCGCUUUGAGGAGUAUCGACCCUCUUCGAGGCUAAGCUAACGCGAUAAGAGAUCCGCCUGGGUAGUACGACCGCAAGGUUG
rnacentral:rRNA from 1 species